UAGGGAAUCUUCGGCAAUGGGGGGAACCCUGACCGAGCAACGCCGCGUGAGUGAAGAAGGUUUUCGGAUCGUAAAGCUCUGUUGUUAAGGAAGAACGAGUGUGAGAAUGGAAAGUUCAUGCUGUGACGGUACUUAACCAGAAAGGGACGGCUAACUACGUGCCAGCAGCCGCGGUAAUACGUAGGUCCCGAGCGUUGUCCGGAUUUAUUGGGCGUAAAGCGAGCGCAGGCGGUUAGAAAAGUCUGAAGUGAAAGGCAGUGGCUCAACCAUUGUAGGCUUUGGAAACUGUUUAACUUGAGUGCAGAAGGGGAGAGUGGAAUUCCAUGUGUAGCGGUGAAAUGCGUAGAUAUUAAAAAGAAUACCGGUGGCGAAGGCGACUUACUGGGCUCAUUCUGACGCUGAGGAACGAAAGCGUGGGUAGCAAACAGG
rnacentral:rRNA from 1 species